CCUACGGGGGGCUGCAGUGAGGAAUAUUGGUCAAUGGACGAGAGUCUGAACCAGCCAAGUAGCGUGAAGGAUGACUGCCCUAUGGGUUGUAAACUUCUUUUAUAUGGGAAUAAAACGUUCCACGUGUGGGAUUUUGUAUGUACCAUAUGAAUAAGGAUCGGCUAACUCCGUGCCAGCAGCCGCGGUAAUACGGAGGAUCCGAGCGUUAUCCUGAUUUAUUGGGUUUAAAGGGAGCGUAGGUGGAUUGUUAAGUCAGUUGUGAAAGUUUGCGGCUCAACCGUAAAAUUGCAGUUGAAACUGGCAGUCUUGAGUACAGUAGAGGUGGGCGGAAUUCGUGGUGUAGCGGUGAAAUGCUUAGAUAUCACGAAGAACUCCGAUUGCGAAGGCAGUUCACUGGACUGCAACUGACACUGAGGCUCGAAAGUGUGGGUAUCAAACAGGAUUAGAUACCCGGGUAGUC
rnacentral:rRNA from 1 species